CUACGGGAUGCUGCAGUGGGGAAUAUUGGACAAUGGGGGAAACCCUGAUCCAGCAAUGCCGCGUGUGUGAAGAAGGCCUGCGGGUUGUAAAGCACUUUCGGUUGGGAGGACUGCUUCUAGCACUAAUAUUGUUGGAAGUUGACGUUACCUUCAGAAGAAGCACCGGCUAACUCCGUGCCAGCAGCCGCGGUAAUACGGAGGGUGCAAGCGUUAAUCGGAAUUACUGGGCGUAAAGCGCGCGUAGGCGGCUAGAUCAGUCGGGUGUGAAAGCCCCGGGCUUAACCUGGGAACUGCAUCCGAUACUGGCUAGCUUGAGUACAGGAGAGGAGAGUGGAAUUCCACAUGUAGCGGUGAAAUGCGUAGAUAUGUGGAGGAACACCAAUGGCGAAGGCAGCUCUCUGGCCUGAUACUGACGCUGAGGUGCGAAAGCGUGGGGAUCAAACAGGAUUAGAUACCCGCGUAGUC
rnacentral:rRNA from 1 species